UACGAAGGGGGCUAGCGUUGCUCGGACUCACGGGGCGUAAAGCGCGCGUAGGCGGCUUCUUAAGUCAGGGGUGAAAUCCUGGGGCUCAACCCCGGAACUGCGCUUGAUACUGCGGAGCUUGAGUCCCGGAGAGGUGAGUGGAACUCCGGGUGUAGGGGUGAAAUUCGUAGAUAUCCGGAAGAACACCAGUGGCGAAGGCGGCCCACUGGACGGGGACUGACGCUGAGACGCGAAAGCGUGGGGAGCAAAUAGG
rnacentral:rRNA from 1 species